CGAAGGGUGCAAGCGUUGCUCGGAAUUAUUGGGCGUAAAGGGUAGGUAGGUGGUUACGUAUGUCUGGGGUGAAGUCCCUGAGCUUAACUCAGGAAGUGCCUUGGAAACGGCGUAACUAGAGUACUAGAGAGGUUCGUGGAAUUCCCGGUGUAGCGGUGAAAUGCGUAGAGAUCGGGAGGAACAUCAGAGGCGAAGGCGGCGAACUGGAUAGUAACUGACACUGAACUACGAAAGCGUGGGUAGCAAACAGGAUUAGAUACCCUGGUAGUCCACGCUGUAAACGAUGGGUACUAGGCUUCGUGGGAGUUGACCCCUGCGGAGCCGGAGCUAACGCGAUAAGUACCCCGCCUGGGAAGUACGGUCGCAAGACUA
rnacentral:rRNA from 1 species